rnacentral:rRNA from 1 species
UAAGGAAUAUUGGUCAAUGGACGCAAGUCUGAACCAGCCAUGCCGCGUGCAGGAUGAAUGCCCUAUGGGUUGUAAACUGCUUUUGUACGGGAAGAAUAACCUUGACGUGUCAAGGGAUGACGGUACCGUAAGAAUAAGGAUCGGCUAACUCCGUGCCAGCAGCCGCGGUAAUACGGAGGAUCCAAGCGUUAUCCGGAUUUAUUGGGUUUAAAGGGUGCGUAGGCGGGAUAGUAAGUCAGUGGUGAAAGCUCAUAGCUUAACUAUGGAAUUGCCAUUGAUACUGCUAACCUUGAGUAUGUUUGAAGUGGGCGGAAUGUGCAGUGUAGCGGUGAAAUGCUUAGAUAUUGCACAGAACACCAAUUGCGAAGGCAGCUCACUAAACCAUAACUGACGCUGAGGC